UUUUUUUCUUUUUUUUUUUUUUUUUUUUACUUGUAAAAAAAAAGGUUAUUUUAUAAAA
rnacentral:ribozyme from 17 species